GAUGAACGCUGGCGGCGUGCCUAAUACAUGCAAGUCGAGCGCACGGACGUGGAGCUUGUAUCUCUGAUGUUAGCGGCGGACGGGUGAGUAACACGUGGAGAACCUACCUAUAAGAGUGGGAUAACUUCGGGAAACCAGAGCUAAUACCGGAUGAUAUCUUUAACCACAUGGUUCAAGAGUGAAAGACGCACUUGCAUCCACUUAUAGAUAUACCCGCGCUGCAUUAGCUAGUUGGUAAGGAAACGGCUUACCAAGGCAACGAUGCUUAGCCGACCUGAGAGGGUGAUCGGCCACACUGGACCUGAGACACGGUCCAAACUCCUACGGGAGGAAGCAGAAGGGAUUCUUCGGCAAUGGGCGAAGGCCUGACGGAGCAAGGCCGCGUGAGUGAUGAAGGUCUUCGGAUCUUAAACCCUUUUUAUUAGGGAAGAACAUAUGUGUAAGUAAAUGUGCACAUCUUGACGGUAACUAAUCAGAAAGCCACGGCUAACUACGUG
rnacentral:rRNA from 1 species